UGACAGAUUGGUGAUGUUGUUGAUGUUUUAGAUUCGUUAUUUAUGUGUCUGUGUGUCAUUGUCACAUACAUGUUAUGUUUGCGCUUUUCUUUCAGUGCCUGUAUGAGGCCGCCUGUCACCAGUCCUACUGUGUUCUGUCUCUCACGGCGAGGCAGUGAAGUGUAUCGCAGGCCACGUUGGCUCAGUUGACUGCCUUGCAACGUCACUUCCAGGUGACAGAGCUGCUCGCUGUGCUGACACAAGACUGAACGUGUUGCAGUCUGGCAUCUUUAGAUCCAAGGCGCAUUGUUCUCAGUCCACUGGCAAAUCUUCUGAAACAACUCAGUUCUUUUUGAAUGGGAUUGUUUGGGAUGAAGGGCAGGACACCAAACACAGUGAUGCGGAUGUACGGCAGAAACAAAGGACACGCUGCAAAAAACUCUCAAUUUAAUACCAGGCCUCUAUCCACUAGCAAGUUUAUCAAGUGUUUAUCACAAACAAAUACAACUACUGCUUUGUUCAUCCAAGAAACGUAUGUUAUAUUUCCAUGUCCGUUUUGUUCUCCCACUGCCAGGAGAACCUGCUCCACUGUAUAUUUGGAGUCAGCCACGACUCUACACCAUGUCUGAUUGGCAGCGCAGACAAAACCUCAGAAGAGAGGGACACCAUGACUGACAAUAAACCCAACCAAUUAGAUCGACUGAAAUAUAAUACAAACCAAU